rfam:Ictidomys tridecemlineatus contig071879, whole genome shotgun sequence.
GGGGCUGUAGCUCAGUGGUAGAGCGCUUGCCUAGUACACAUGAGGCAUUGGGUUCCGUCUUCAGCACCA